rnacentral:rRNA from 1 species
AGUGAACGCUGGCGGUAGGCCUAACACAUGCAAGUCGAACGGCAGCACAGUAAGAGCUUGCUCUUACGGGUGGCGAGUGGCGGACGGGUGAGGAAUACAUCGGAAUCUACUUUUUCGUGGGGGAUAACGUAGGGAAACUUACGCUAAUACCGCAUACGACCUACGGGUGAAAGCAGGGGAUCUUCGGACCUUGCGCGAUUGUAUGAGCCGAUGUCGGAUUAGCUAGUUGGCGGGGUAAAGGCCCACCAAGGCGACGAUCCGUAGCUGGUCUGAGAGGAUGAUCAGCCACACUGGAACUGAGACACGGUCCAGACUCCUACGGGAGGCAGCAGUGGGGAAUAUUGGACAAUGGGCGAAAGCCUGAUCCAGCCAUACCGCGUGGGUGAAGAAGGCCUUCGGGUUGUAAAGCCCUUUUGUUGGGAAAGAAAAGCAGCAGGUUAAUACCCCGCUGUUCUGACGGUACCCAAAGAAUAAGCACCGGCUAACUUCGUG